CGAACUCGCUACGUUGAAUGGAUGUAUUGUCUCGUACUAUAGAACUCUCGUUACAGUCCUGAGCGAAUAAUUCAAUGUCAAAAUUAGCACGUCCAGCGGUCUUCCAUUAUUUCAACACAUUACCUGUGGUAAACGUGAAUUUACGUUGGUAGAUUAACUUGUCUUGAGCACUCAUAACACUAAUGAUGCAUCCAAAAAAAAAACCAUUCCUCUUUGAAGGACACGAGCUCCGAUUUCUUUGGCAUUUUGAGUAUAAAUGAGUGUCUGUAGCAACCUCUGAUCCUUAUAAACUGUAUGUAGCUGAGGACUCACAUCUUCGAAAGUCGAGCAACGAAAUAUAGAUCGGGUUCUCCUUAAAAGUUCGGAUAUUUUCAGAAACAUAGCUU